rnacentral:lncRNA from 1 species
AGAGCUUCUCCAUAUGCAUCAACCACUUCUCCACGAUCCAGUGGUCGACCUUCUCGCCGUCGAAGACUCGGGGACUGCACCUCCUGAACUCAUUGAGGCGCUCUAUCAGUCUAUCUCGUUCAGCCCCCUCCACCAAAGUAGGGAAUGUAGCUCCAACCGGGGGCCUCUACACAGGUGGUGCCGCCAAAACCUCCUCCUGGGGUGCGGCCGCAGGCGCCGUUGCUUCAAUUUUCUUGGGAUCCAUAGUGAUUCCAACUUCAGAAAUGACAUGCCCCAAGACCGCUAUUUUUCGAAGCCAAAAUUUACAUUUCUUUAAUUUAGCGAACAGUUUCUUUUCCCGAAGCUCUUGCAACACCAAUCUCAAACGGUUUUCAUGCUCCUCGUCGCUUCGAGAAUAGAUCAAAAUAUUAUCGAUAAAUACCACCACGAACCUAUCUAAAUAAGGCAUGAAUACACAGUUCAUUAAAUCCAUAAAAGCUGUCGGGGCAUUAGUGAGACGAAACGGCAUAACUGUAAAUUCAUAAUGCCGAUACCGUGUUCUAAAAGCAGUCUUAGAAACAUCUUUAGGCUUGAUCUUCAGCUGAUGAUAUCCAGAUUGCAAAUCAAUUUUGGAAUACACUUUGGAUCCUUGGAGCUGAUCAAAUAAAUCAUCAAUCCGUGGUAACGGAUACUUAUUCUUAAUUGUGACUUUGUUAAUUUCAUGAUAAUCAACACACAAUCGAAAUGAUUUGUCUUUCUUCUUAACAAACAACACCAGUGCUCCCCAGGGUGAUACACUCAGUCGAAUAAAGCCUUUAUCCAGAAGAUCCUGUAACUGUGCCUUCAGCUCUUUUAAUUCAGCAGGCGCCAUCCUAUAGGGUGCUUUUGAGAUUGGGGUAGUCCCAGGAACAAGAUCUACCACAAACUCAACUUCCCUAUCAAGCGGCACACCUGGCAAUUCAGCUGGAAACACAUCAUGAAACUCCCGUACUACCGGGAUAUCAUCAAUACUAAGAACUCCCCCAUCACUGACAGAAAUGUUAGCCAAAUAGGCUACACAACCCCUCCGUAUCAACUGUUGUGCUCGCGAAGAACUGAUUGUCAUUGCGAACAAUGAACUCUGACAUCCCCUGUAAAUAAACUCCUGCUGACCCGGUUCCUGAAAGGUCAUUGUUCUGUUCGUGCAUACUAUAGUAGCAUAGUACUGUGUCAACCAAUCCAUACCCAAUACUACAUCAAACUCACUUAGUUUGUGUAUUGCUAAUAAGUCCACUGGCAUAAUCCAGUUGCCUACCCAGACUGGGCAGCGAGGGCAAUACUCACGAAUAUCCAGGGUAUGGUCGGGCACGAUGUCACGCCCCGGGACAUAGCGGAAGCCCGCCCGGCACGUGCACAGACCCGCCAUACGUCUAAAACAUAUAAGGCGUCUAAAACAAAACGAUAAAUGAGACAAUAAAAGAAAACAUCUAGAAGCAUCAGAGCAAUAUACAUCAUCUAGAGACUAAAGCAAUGUGAAGAGUAGAGAGCUAAAAUCACUAAUAACCAUAAAGUAGUACAACCAAAGAUCCAAAUACAAGAACUAAAAGAGCACAUAGGUGGUCUCUAUGCAUUGUAACACAACCUCCGCCGGUGCAGAGGGCUCUGAAAGGAAAACAUAAAACAGAGGGUGUGAGAACUAUUAAAUAAUAGUUCCCAGAAGGCAAUUACUGACUUCAGUGAAAUGCACCACUAGGCCCAAAACUAAGCAAGUAAAGUAAGUAAAGCAGGUAAGAAUAAUAUGAACAAAUAAAUCACAGAAAUGGAAGCUCAAUAUAUCAUGAAGUUACUACUUUUAUCAGUAAUAAUCUACCACAUGAUCUCUACUUAGCAUGGAUUUGCACAAGUAAUAAACUAUCACAUGUUCUCUACUUAGCAUGAAUUUGCAUAAGUAAUAAACUAUCACAUGAUCUCUACUUAGCAUGAAUUUGCAUAAGUAAUGAACUACCAUGGCAUAAUUGCAGAAGUAUACACCCAACACCAUGAUCACAAGAUAGAAUGGUAAUGUGUCAUUAUCUACUAUUCUAGUCAAUGUCCAAAAGGUACAAUGUGUCACCAGUAACCCAAUCAUGUGGAAGCUACCCGUAGGUAGUCCGGCCUGCGCCGUGCCAACAAUGGCCCCGUGGUAGUCAACAUCCCCACUCUAGGAAUGAGCCUCCCCCACGGCAUCCCAUUUUGGCGCCCAAUCCUGCACGGGCGAGCAUAUGUCGCGAUGGCUAUCUUCGGAGUGCCGACUUGUAGGGAGCGACCCUCACAAGUAUGUGCGAAUGAGCACAAUGGCAUGAAAGCGAAUAAGUCCGUCUCAGGUCCCAGUGGUUCAUCACUGUUUCAUCGGAUCUAAAAUCCGGAAUACAGCACAUGUCCCAAAGGCCUACCUCUAUGUCAUCGUGUCUAAAACACGGAAUACAGUAACUGUCUCAAUGGCCUAUCUCUAUGUCGUCAUGUCUCUAAGUUGUAGUUCAACAAUUUUCUAGUUCAAAUACCCCUUUAUGACACUUUUGCUUACUAUGUCCAAAUAUGAAUAAUAAGUCUAAAAACUUGUCAUUCUAAUCAUUUUCCACACAAGAAAUAUGAUCUCACAUCAUUUAUUAGAACAUUAAACUCAUGCAUACCAACAAUGCAUAUGCUUCUCUCUACAACAUAGAGUCAAUUUUUCANGUCAUUCUAAUCAUUUUCCACACAAGAAAUAUGAUCUCACAUCAUUUAUUAGAACAUUAAACUCAUGCAUACCAACAAGAAGCAAAGAAGGGCAAAGGGGAUGAGAUCAAAACCGACAAAAAUCCAUCAAAAAUGAAAAAGAACUCAAAAGAGGGAGUUCUCACCUUGUUCUCCACUGAUUUAGGGCUCAAAACCCUGUCUAAGGAGGCUGGGGUAACAUACAUAGGUGUUGUAACAAUUGCAAAAACACCCCUGCUCGAAAACUGCUCGCACUGCACUGUGUACCGGUACACGGGCUCGCGUACUGGUACAACACCUGCGAAACAGCCAAACCCGAGCCUCGGGUUUGCACGAAAUCCGUCUGUGUACCGGUACACCAGCCCCGUACCGGUACAGCCAUGAGCGCGUACCGGUACAGCCAUCAACCUAGUACCGGUACACAGCCCUGCUGAGGCUACCCGAGAGCUGACCAAAAAUUCGACUUUUCGGAUUUUGGUGCUAGGUUUUAAACCUCCAAUCUCGGGGCUCGAACCAUGGGUCGGAACACUGUCAACGACCCUCCACGAAGUGUGGAAAAGCUCAGAACACGAAACAAACACUCGAACCUUGCAAUUUGCAAAGGUCCAGUGCAUCACAUUCACCCCUCCUAAAAAGGAGUUUCGUCUGCGAAACUCGAAAGCAACGUACCUCAAGACUCCAUCUGAAAAGGAUGGGGAUAACGCUCCAGCAAAGCGCUCUCAAGCUCCCACGUGGCCUUUCGCUCCCCGUGGUUGCUCCAAAGAAUCUUCACAUACGAAAUAUUCCAAUUCCGCAGUUUCUUUACCUCGCGAGCCAAGAUCUUCACUGGUUGCUCCUCGAAACUCAAGUCAUCCCGCAACUCCACUGGUGUAGCAUCCAACACAUAAGUCGGGUCGAAUAUGUACUUCCGAAGGACCGAUACAUGAAAGACGUUGUGCACGCCCGAUAGGUUCGGUGGUAGAGCAAGUCGAUACGCUACCGAACCUACACUCUCCAAAACCUCAUACGGUCCAAUGAAACGGGGGCUCAACUUACCCCGAAUUCCGAAUCUCUUGAUCCUUCUAGUCAGCGAGACCUUCAAGAAAACAUGGUCUCCAACUUGGAACUCCAAGUCUCGCCGUCGUCGGUCGGCGUAGCUCCUCUGUCUACUCUGCGCUGUCAAAAGUCGCUCCCGAGCAAUUCGAACCUUGUCCUCAGCUUCCUGGAGCACAUCAGGGCCCAAAGCCAGUCUCUCGCCAACUUCACUCCAAUGAAGUGGCGAUCUACACUUCCGUCCAUAAAGUGCUUCGAAUGGUGCCAUCUUGAUGCUUGCUUCAUAACUAUUGUUAUAAGCAAACUCCGCCAUAGGUAGAUGCUGCGACCAUCCUCCCUGGAAGUCUAUUACACAUGCUCGGAGCAUAUCCUCUAAAGUCUGUAUGGUGCGCUCCGACUGCCCAUCACUCUGACGAUGGAAAGCAGUGCUAAAAUCCAGUCGAGUGCCUAGGGCGUCCUGUAGACUCCUCCAAAAGUGAGACACAAACCGGGUGUCUCAAUCUGAUACAAUCGACGUGGGCACUCCAUGAAGUCGCACAAUCUCAUCAAAGUACACUUGUGCGAGCUUCUCCCCAGUCCAAGUAGUAUGAAUAGGUAUGAGUGCGUCGACUUCGUCAACCUAUCCACGAUCACCCAAAUAGCAUCAUGCUCGGCCUGAGAGCGGGGCAAUUCAGUCACGAAAUCCAUGAUGAUCUUCUCCCACUUCCACACGGGAAUAGGCAAACUCUGAAGUUUUUCCGCGGGAACUCAAUGCUCAGCCUUUACUUGUUGGCAAGUUAGAUAACAAGCUACAAACUCGCCAACAUCCUUUUUCAUCCCGGGCCACCAAUAAAGCAACUUUAAAUCCUUAUACAUCUUGGUGCCUCCCGGAUGUAUAGCGUAGGACGCUCGGUGCGCUUCUUGAAGAAUGUCCUCUUUAAUUCCCAAAUCAGCCGGUACACAAAUCCGUCCACGGAAACGCAUCAAUCCUUGGUCAUCCACAAGGAAAUCGCCGGUGCAACCAUCAACCAUUUUACCUUUAAUCUUUUGCAACUCCACAUCGGAAGCUUGCAUUUCUUUAAUUCGAUCAAAAAGUGUAGGUUGCACCACCAACGUCAUCAACCUCAAAGGCGUGUCAGGAGUCACCACCUCCAACUCCAACCGUUUCAUCUGUUCAAUUAACUGCGGUUGAGUAACAACAUGCAUCGCUAAGUUUUUCGUUGAUUUCCGACUUAGCGCAUCAGCCACCACGUUAGCCUUGCCUGGGUGGUAGAGAAUUGUCAAAUCAUAAUCUUUGAGCAGCUCCAACCAUCUGCGCUGUCUCAGGUUCAACUCUUUCUGAGUGAAUAAGUACUUCAAACUCUUGUGAUCCAUGUACACUUCACACCGCUCACCAUAAAGAUAGUGGCGCCAUAACUUCAAUGCGAAGACUACGGCCGCCAGCUCCAAAUCAUGCGUUGGGUAGUUCUUUUCAUAUUCCUUUAGUUGGCGCGAAGCAUAUGCGAUCACUUUGCCAUCCUGCAUCAACACACAACCUAAUCCAUUAAGUCAUUAAGUGAAGCAUCACUAUAAACCACAUACCCUACUCUAGCCAUCGGCAGGGUUAGGAUCGGAGCGGUCGUCAAUCUUUACUUCAACUCUAGGAAGCUUCUCUCGCAUGCAUCAUUCCAAAUGAACUUGACUCUUUUAUGCGUGAGUCUCGUGAGGGGAGUAGACAGCUUGGCGAACCCCUCAACAAAUCUCCGGUAGUACCCGGCCAAUCCAAGGAAACUCCGAAUCUCCGUGACGCUCGUCGGUCUCGGCCAAUCCCUGAUAGCCUCAAUCUUCUUGGGAUCCACCGCAAUACCUGAUCCCGAAAUCAGAUGCCCAAGGAAAGCUACCUCUCGAAGCCAAAAUUCACACUUUUUCAGCUUCACAUAGAGCUCCUUUUCUCGAAGUACUUGAAGUACAAGCCUCAAAUGCUCCUCAUGAUCUGCAUCACUUCGGGAAUAGACCAAAAUGUCAUCGAUAAACACCACAAUGAACCUGUCUAGAUAAGGCUUAAAAAUACGGUUCAUUAGAUCCAUAAAAACUGCUGGGGCAUUAGUAAGCCCAAACGGCGUAAUAGUGAACUCAUAAUGUCCAUACCGCAUUCUGAAAGCUGUCUUCGAUACAUCCUCGGGUUUGAUCUUUAACUGGUGGUAUCCCGACUGCAAAUCGAUCUUGGAAUACACACACCAUCCUUGAAGCUGAUGAAACAAGUCGUCGAUCCUUGGCAACGGAUACUUAUUCUUGUUCGUGACUUUAUUAAGUUCACGAUAGUCCACACAUAGGCGUAGCGAUUCGUCUUUCUUCUUGACGAACAAAACUGGCGCUCCCCAAGGCGAGACGCUCGGUUGAAAAAAGCCUUUAUCCAGAAGAUCCUGUAGCUAUGCCCUCAGCUCCUUUAGCUCCGCCGGUGCCAUCCUAUAGGGCGCUUUCGAGAUUGGAGUAGUCCCAGGGACGAGAUCUACCACAAACUCGAUCUCCCUAUCGGGCGGCAUGCCCGGUAGCUCAGCUGGAAACACAUCACAAAACUCCCGUACUAACAGGAUAUCCUCAACCCUAGGGGUAUCACCCUCGCUCCUCAACGCAACACCAGCCAAGUAAGCUAUACAACCUCUACUGAUCAGCUGCCUAGCUCGAGACGAGCUGAUCGUCAUUGCAAAAAGCGAACUCUGGCAUCCUCUAAAUAUCACCUCAACUUGCCCCGGUUCUCUAAAAGUAACCGUGCGAUUCUUGCAAUCAAUCGUGGCAUAAUACUUGGUUAACCAAUCCAUGCCUAAACCACAUCAAAUUCCCCCAGCUUGCGCAAGGCUAGCAAGUCCACAGGCAUAAUCCAAUCUUCUAUCCGAAUAAGGCAAUUAGGGUAAUACUCUCUAAUAUCCAAAGAGUGGUCGGGGACAACUACACAUCCCGGAUGCAACAAAAAAAGCAUAAGGAUGCCAUGCAACUUGGCAAACAGCCGAUCUAUGAAUGAAUGCGAUGCAUCGGUAUCAAAUAAUGUACGAACUCUAAUGCCAUCAAGUAAAAUGAUACCUACGACCACAUCCUCGGCUGCUGCCGCCUCCUCGGUCUGAGCGGCAUACAUACGCCCACUCGGGGCCUGUCGAGAACCCUCGUUCUGGCACUGGACGGGUGGCCGCCCAAGCUGGUACUGCGCCGAUGGAGUCCCGUGGCUGGCGGCUGGUAGAGCCUGUGCCGAUGCAGUCGAUGGUGCCGGUGACGAUCUCCUCGGGCACUCAGUCCGGAAGUGGCCCUCCUGGCCACACAAGUAGCACCUGCCUUCCCGCUGUGGACACUGCGGUAGAGUGUGAGGACCACCGCAGAUCACGCACUGGGGAGGUCGGCGUCGAUCAGGACCUCCUCGCUGCGUUGCCGGGCCGCGCCCAUGCUGCUGGCUCCUAAGGUGUUUCGGCGGCCUCCUAGAGUGCGUCUGGCUCGCACCCUCCGCCGCAGGCCUCUUGGCCUUACCCCUGUCCAAGCCCUCUCGCCGCUCCUGCAUCUCUGCCGCGCCGCUCUCCACAAUGAGCGCGCGAUCCACCACCUACCGGUAGGUUUGGAGGUUAGAGGAUUGCACGAACUGGAAGAUCGACGGUCGCAACCCACGCACGAAGAUACGAGCCUUGUCCUCGUUGUCCCGCACGACUAAAGGCACGCAGUGAAGAAGCCGAGAAAACUCCCUCUCGUAGUCGGCCACAGUGCGGUCUCCCUGGCGCAAGCUGUGCAGAUCCUGCUCCAUCUUCCUCUUGACGCUAGUCGUGAAGUAGUGCGCCAGUAGAAGCUCCUUGAGCUUCUUCCAUGUAAUAGCCGCCAAGUCGGUGCUGGGGUUCUCCUGAAGAUCCAACCACCAGCGAUAGGCCUCGCCGUCCAGAUGGUGAGUGGCGAGCCAAACUCGAUCUCUCUCCUCCACGAAGGUGUCGCGGAAGAGCUUCUCCAUAUGCAUCAACCACUUUUUCACGAUCCAGUGGUCGACCUUCUCGCCGUCGAAGAUCCGGGGACCGCACCUCCUGAACUCGUUGAGGCGCUCCAUCAGUCGGUCCCGCUCCGCUCCCUCAACCAACACGGGAAAAAGAGCUCCAAUCGGGGGUGCCUGAACAGGUGGCGCCGCCAAAGCCUCCUCCUUAGGCGAGGCCACGGGCGCCGCACGCGACGAACUGGGC